rnacentral:rRNA from 1 species
UACAGAGGUGGCAAGCGUUGUUCGGAAUUACUGGGCGUAAAGGGCGCGUAGGCGGUCCGCUAAGUCUGAUGUGAAAGCCCGGGGCUCACCCCCGGAAGUGCAUUGGAAACUGGCGGACUCGAGUCCCGGAGAGGAGAGUGGAAUUCCUGGUGUAGCGGUGAAAUGCGUAGAUAUCAGGAGGAACAUCAGUGGCGAAAGCGGCUUCCUGGACCAGAACUGACGAUCAGGCACGAAAGCGUGGGGAGCAAACAGG